CAGACAGCCGGACGCCGAACUUGCGCAGGACUUCGGCGGCGCCCAGCUCCGCUCCCCAUGGGGUGGCCACUGCGCUCGGAGGCCCCUGCACGGCAGCGCCGGCGGGCGGGGGGGCGCUCAGGGUCCCGCCGGCCCCCGUGACAGACACAUCGAUUCGGAAUUUGGGUCGCGCUGAGGCGAGUCCCGGCCCUGGAACUCAAGGUGAUCAGCAGCACCUAUGCACACUUCCUUAAUCUUACUGAAUUUUAAAAAGCUUACCCUUUGCUUCUGUGGAUUUAGUUACUUCAAAUCAUGUUUGCUGUCACCAUCUUCUGUUCACAAAACUAAUUCUCUGAUCCAUGUUGGCAGAAGCCCUUUAGAUGCAGAUUUCUCCAUUCUGCGUGUGCACCCUCUCCUCCACUCCUCCAGAUGCUGCAGAGGGCUCUGUAAGGUCAGCACUAAGGGAUCAAGCAACCUUGUUGAAACUCUUCUGGUUCUGUCUUGAUAGAACUACUGCAACUUGUCCUUAUGUGAACUAUCUUUCCACCUGGAGCAAUAAACAUGUCAGUAUAUAAUGUGAGAA